GCUUAGCAACCUGCUCGGGACCCCUCUCUGUGACUGUGAGCUGUUCUGUUCUUUUGCCUAUUAAACUCCUGCUCCAAACUCACUCGAUGUGUGUGUGCAUGUCCUUGACCUCAAUAUCUGGUCGUGUGACCAAGAACCUCAGUAUUCACCCCAGACAACAAGGCUGCUUCAUUUUGAGGGCUCGUCUGGGAUUUGAAGGUGACUUCAUCAGAAUGGACUGUUGUCCUCUAAGGAAAGUCUCUGGCUGACAAACAAUUGCCUCCUCAAAUACCAAGCUUUGCUGCUAAAGGGAUCUGCAGUCCAGCUGAAAACCUGCCCUUGCCUGAGCCCAGCCACUUUCUCCCAGAGAAAACUGGAGAACCUAAACAUGAUUGUGAACAGAAACCAUCAAGCUUCAGAUGGUGCUGAAAAUGGAGCCGAAAAUGAAACUGCCCUCCUACGAGGGACCCUUAAAUCAACCCCAGGAGGAGCCCUAGCUGCUGUUCCCCACACAACGCCACUCUCCAGCAGGAAGUAGCCAGAAGAAAUCGUCACCCAGUUUCCCCUAGCAGCAGCGCAGUAAGAUUGAGGAGCUAAAAACAGACUUGGGUGGAUGUCUGCAGCUGCAAGAAGAUGUGUGGGAACAGACACAGAAACUCUCCCUCCCAGAUAAGCAAGACAAAGAAACACAGAAUAAGAGUCCAUCUAUGUGGUCAGAGAAUGGGAUAAGAGCUGAUUUAAAAAAACUCUGCUCUAUAUAGAAGGCACACCUGGUCCCAACCAAACCACUGGACCCUAGGAGGAUAAGACCUCCUCUGCUCAUGAGCCCCCUCCUCAGUAGCCCAUUUAUAAAAACCCUGACAAUUUUACUACCACUUGGCAACCCGCUCGGGACCCCUCUCUGUGAUGGAGAGCUGUUCUUUUCUUUUGCCUAUUAAACUCCUGCUCCAAACUCAC
rnacentral:lncRNA from 1 species